rnacentral:rRNA from 1 species
UCCAUCUAAAGCUAAAUAUAACCACGAGCCCGAUAGUCAACAAGUACAGUGAUGGAAAGUUGAAAAGUACUCUGAAGAGAGAGUCAAAUAGCCCGUGAAGCUGCCAGUAUGGGAUUAAGCGCACGUAUGACGCGUGUCGUCGGCCAAAUAGGCGACUGUCGGGUGUGCACACUGCGUGUGACUGUCUACGCUCGUCGGCCGGACGCGUGGUGUUUGGCGUGCCUCGGCAGAACGCUUCCCUUUGGUCGACAUGGACAGGUCGAGGCUUCGUUGUCCAUGGUCUUAUUGCCGGCCGGUAAUUCGCAGAGCCGUGUCGAGCUGUAGCCUGCCUCACGGUCGUGCUGCGGUGCUCCGUCGACUAUGCGCUCUCUACUGUAGCGACGACGGUCGGCUUGGUCUACGAUGCAAUAUGCCGGCCGAUGGCGAACGACCGGGCGACGGCCAGCGCAAAUUCGAAACGUCUAACGUUUCGGCUCGGCCUUUGCGUCGUUAUGUGCGGCCCGUCUUGAAACACGGACCAAGGAGUCUAACAUGUGAGCGAGCGAUUGAGAUUGUCUAAUCUCAAACGCGCAAUGAAAGUAAAGUGUCGUCUGA